UACGUAGGGGGCAAGCGUUAUCCGGAUUUACUGGGUGUAAAGGGAGCGUAGACGGCAGGGCAAGUCUGGAGUGAAAGGCAGGGGCCCAACCCCUGGACUGCUCUGGAAACUGUCCGGCUGGAGUGCAGGAGAGGUAAGUGGAAUUCCUAGUGUAGCGGUGAAAUGCGUAGAUAUUAGGAGGAACACCAGUGGCGAAGGCGGCCUACUGGACGGUGACUGACGCUGAGGCUCGAAAGCGUGGGGAGCAAACAGG
rnacentral:rRNA from 1 species